rnacentral:lncRNA from 1 species
UGGUGGGUAGUGCUUCCAACUCAGCAUCAGGUUUUUAUCUUUUCACCCAGGUGCCAUUCAUUGUGAAGUUGUUCCCUAACUCUACUCAUUUUAGCUGUUGCUACUCUGUCGUUAACUGUAUCUGGUCUUGAUUUAGCUGCUGUUCUCUUCUUCUUAUUCUACUAGUCUUAAACCUUCCUUAACAUCUUAUUCUACUCGAAUUUAUGAACGGAUAUCAGAAUCUAGCUAAGAUUUCGAAUUUAUGAAAGGAUAUCCGAAUCUAAGGG